AUUGAACGCUGGCGGCAGGCCUAACACAUGCAAGUCGAGCGGAUGAAGGGAGCUUGCUCCUGGAUUCAGCGGCGGACGGGUGAGUAAUGCCUAGGAAUCUGCCUGGUCGUGGGGGAUAACGUCCGGAAACGGGCGCUAAUACCGCAUACGUCCUGAGGGAGAAAGUGGGGGAUCUUCGGACCUCACGCUAUCAGAUGAGCCUAGGUCGGAUUAGCUAGUUGGUGGGGUAAAGGCCUACCAAGGCGACGAUCCGUAACUGGUCUGAGAGGAUGAUCAGUCACACUGGAACUGAGACACGGUCCAGACUCCUACGGGAGGCAGAAGUGGGGAAUAUUGGACAAUGGGCGAAAGCCUGAUCCAGCCAUGCCGCGUGUGUGAAGAAGGUCUUCGGAUUGUAAAGCACUUUAAGUUGGGAGGAAGGGCAGUAAGUUAAUACCUUGCUGUUUUGACGUUACCAACAGAAUAAGCACCGGCUAACUUCGUG
rnacentral:rRNA from 1 species